GUGCUAGCUUAUCAGCCAUAACAGCUGUAGCAAACAGCACCCCACUCAGGUCUGGAAAAACUGAAACACAGAAAUCAUAUUGUCUCAGUUUUUUCUUAGACCCCUGUGAGCUUGAUGAGAUAGUGAUGUAGCUGUGUAACAUGCAGCAAUCAGAAUUUUUCAUAGCUGAGAUGUUCUCACUGCAAUUAACAUUAUUUGUGGCUGGAGGCUGAACUGCAAUCAAAUGAAAUUUAUUUGGUGUUUAGUGGUUACAAUUCUGUUGUUGCUCUGUUGCAUGAGUUCCAACAUAAAACUCCGCUGCAGAACAACCGUGGAUGUUGUUUAAGAUUUUUAUAAUGAUUAAAAAAUCUAUAACACAAGCUUGCAUAUAUCUGUAAAGCAUACACCUGUAUACUAGUAAGAGCACAUCUGCCAUGUAAGGUGGUUGCUUGCCAUCUGAAGCAGCUUGCAUUUAGUGUCUUGCCCAAGGACACAUGCUGGGGUUCAAACCCACAACACUGUGAAUAGUGGGGGAAAAAGAGUCAGAGCUGAAUAAGUGCUGCUAUGCAACUUUUCUUUGUACCUUCUUGUGGUUCCAGUUGUCCUUAUCUCAACAGCAGCAGUAGCAGCGUAGCAGCAGUUUAAUGACUUUGUUGGGGAUGUACUGAAAGUAUCCCCUGGAGGUUUUUGGCAGUAUGCCGCUGAAGUCACUGUAGUCUCAGAGGAAGUUUCCCACUUGAUGAUUACACAUAUCUUACUAGAGACCUUUGGGCCAACUUCCACAAAGUCUUUUCCUGUAUUUAAUGUCUAUUUUGAAUCUGUGCCCAAAACUUGCCUGUUUUUUUUAUUUUUUUUUAGCAUUUCUUCAUAUGAAAGAGUUUUCUGUAUUUUUACUACUGCACAGCAAGAAGUAACUUUUGAUGGUUGAUUAGGAAAAGCUUUCCAAAUUGUAGAGAAGUACAGUAUAAAACAGUGCUUACAUUGUGGUCACAGUGUUAAUUCUGUAACCUGAACCUGUCAAUCAAAGAGGUUAUGGCGUCACUGGUUUGAAAGUGACCAGACCCGUGCCAAGUAUUUCAAGCUUUUUUCCGUACAACUUUUCCAAACAAGCCAUACCUGUCACUCAGAGCAUGAUAACUCAGGCCUGUUGUAAUGGCCCUGGCUUUUGGACUGCAGGUUUUGAGUUUUCUUGGAUUUUAAAUUCUUGUUUAUUAUUUGAUGUUCUGUUUGGUUCUGAGUUUGUUUAUAAUUUCGAUUCGAUUUUACUGUUCUUUCAGAUUUUUUUUCUGUUUAUUUUCCAGUUUCUAUUCUGGUGUGUUAGGGUCUUGUCUCUGGUUUAGUCACUGACUUCCUGUUUUAUUUUGGUAGCUGUUUGUCUAAACCUCUGGGAUCU
ensembl:lncRNA